UACCCCUAGCAAAUCUCAAAAAACCGGUCUCAGUUCGGAUUGGAGUCUGCAAUUCGACUCCAUGAAGCUGGAAUCGCUAGUAAUCGCGGAUCAGCACGCCGCGGUGAAUACGUUCCCGGGCCUUGUACACACCGCCCGUCACACCAUGGGAGCUGAUUCAACCAGAAGACGGUAUAGCUAACCGCAAGGAGGCUGCCGGCGAAGGUGGGGUCAGCGACUGGGGUGAAG
rnacentral:rRNA from 1 species